UAUAUAUUGUGGGUGGAGAGCUUUGAUUUGAUUUGAUUUAAUUAGUUUGUGGGCAUUGAAUGGUUGUUAGAAAAUGAUGGUAUAAAAUAUUGAGGAAGGAGCAAUUCACCAAACCGACCUGCAUCUUAAAAUCAUUCAAUCCACACAAUUAAGUCAACCAGGUACCCAGAAUAAAAUCAUUUUGUUCUGCUUUUUAAGCAUAUAUAUAACCAAGCCUUACUUUAGAUUGUGUUCUGAAACUCAAGUCCUUGAAGGUUGUAUUGUAUAUGAUACAAUGAUGGAGCUAUUGGUGUUAGGUUGCACAGGAAUCGUGGUAUUCCUUCAUGGAGUUCAUUUCUUUUUCCAUGCUGUUACCCAACACAUGGCUUUCCACUCUCUUUCUCUCAGCCUCAGUUUCUUGGGGUUCGUGGGGUGGUAGAGUCGUGUAGUGAGGACAAGAACAAAUCAUCAAUGCUUGGACGUGAAAGCAAACUUCACCCUCAUCACGACAAGGUCAGAGACUAUCAUUUAUUUUGUUAUGGCCACCCUCACGCUUUGUAAAUACUUAAGGUUUCACCUUAGGAAUCAAAUAAAGCUCUCAAUUCUUCUUCCAAAUGUUUAUUCUUGUAAUAAUUUAUUUGCUAUUGCAAGAACAAAAGUUUCGGUAUAUGCUUUCCCAACCAUAUGUUUAUUUAUCGGAAUGAAUUUCUCUUAACUUGCCAACCA